ACAGCCAUAUCACGUUGAAACAUUGGUUUCCGUACGAUCACCGAAGUUAAGCAACGUCGAGUCUAGUCACUGCUCAGUACCUAGAUUGGUGACCACUUGGGAAUACCAAGUGCUGUAA